CAACAAAAAGGGUGAUUACCGGCGGAGGUAGUCCGCCGGUAAUAAUACCAUCUUUACCGGCGAAAUUCGUUUUCCGCCGGUAUUAAUCUUAUUUUUAUUUUUAUUUUUUAAAAUUAUUUAAUUAUUACCGGCGGAAAUCCCGCCGGUAAUAACCAAAAUUUAUAACCGCGGGAAACUUACCGCCCAUUAAAAUUUUCAAUUAUUACCGGCGGGCUCUACCGGUAAUAAUAUUUCGAUUAUUGCCGGCGGAUUAUUGCCGGCGAGCUCCGCCGGUAAUAAUUAUUAAAAUAUUACCGUUAUUUAAGUAUUACCGGCGGAGUUAUUAUUGCCGGCGGACCUCCGCUGGUAAUAAUAAUCUAUAAAUAAAACCCAUCCGUCUUCUUCACGGCCAAUCCUCCAACUCUCCCUAAAAAAAAAACCAGAGAAAACCAUUCGUUUUCAGAAGCUCUCUUUGUUCGUGGGCAGCUUUGGUUCAUCAAAUUUCUUCGUGGGCAGCUUUGGGUUACUUACAGUAUCUCUUUCGCUUUGGCAUCCAUAUUUUCGACCAAAUUUCUGGUGCUAGUCAAGGGCUUUAUUGGGAGUACUGAAUCUUGCUAUUGUUGUACACUG